rnacentral:rRNA from 1 species
UAAAAGUCGUAACAAGGUUUCCGUAGGUGAACCUGCGGAAGGAUCAUUAAUGGAAUCAUCAUUUCAUUUCAUUGAUCACACCACUGUGAACUCGUUUACCACGUUGCUUCCGCGGCCCCUCCCCGGGGUCGCGGGAGGUCUACCUGAACUCCGGUUUUAUUGAUGCCCUUUGUCUGAACCUGAUUAUAAUAACGUUAAAACUUUCAACAACGGAUCUCUUGGUUCUCGCAUCGAUGAAGAACGCAGCGAAAUGCGAUAAGUAGUGUGAAUGCAGAAUUCAGUGAAUCAUCGAAUCUUUGAACGCACAUUGCGCCUCCUGGUAUUCCGGGAGGCAUGCCUGUUCGAGCGUCAUCAAGGCUCUCUCAAGCGCUUUUGCGCUUGGUCUUGGGGUCCGGUGCUGGUCCGUCCCGCACCGCCCCGAAAUGCAUUGUGCGGAAUGCCCUCGUGGUCCCGGCGUAGUAACAUUCUCUCGCUCGGCUCUCGCGGAGGCGUUCCUGCCCUCAACCCCCCACAAUCACUUCAGUGCUUGACCUCGAAUCAGGUAGGGAUACCCGCUGAA